GACGAACGCUGGCGGCGUGCUUAACACAUGCAAGUCGAACGGAAAGGCCCUGCUUGCGCGGGGUGCUCGAGGGGCGAACGGGUGAGUAACACGGGAGUAACCUGGCCAGGACGGUGGGAUAACCUCAGGAAAGCGGGGAUAAUACCGGAUAGGAGCGCCUGCUGCAGGGGGGGGGUCGGAAAGCUUGGGCGGUUGGGGCUAGACGCGCGGCUUACCAGCUUGUUGGGCGGGUAGUGGCUUAGCAAGGCAUUGGCGGGUCGCCGGCCUGCGAGGGUAACCAGCCACCUUGGUCCUGCGGUACGGCCCAGACUCCUACGGGAGACAGCAGUGGGGAAUAUUGCCCAAUCAGCGGGAGCCUGAUAAAGCGACGCCCCGUUCGGGAUGACCGCCUUCGGGUUGUGAACCGCUUUCACCUGUGACGAAGCGUUAGUGACGUUAAUGGCUAAAUAAGCACCGGCUAACUACGUG
rnacentral:rRNA from 1 species